rnacentral:rRNA from 1 species
GGGUUGUGAGGUUAAGCGACUAAGCGUACACGGUGGAUGCCCUGGCAGUCAGAGGCGAUGAAGGGCGUGCUAAUCUGCGAUAAGCGCCGGUAAGGUGAUAUGAACCGUUAUAACCGGCGAUACCCGAAUGGGGAAACCCAGUGUGAUUCGUCACACUAUCAUUAACUGAAUCCAUAGGUUAAUGAGGCGAACCGGGGGAACUGAAACAUCUAAGUACCCCGAGGAAAAGAAAUCAACCGAGAUUCCCCCAGUAGCGGCGAGCGAACGGGGAGGAGCCCAGAGCCUGAAUCAGCAUGUGUGUUAGUGGAAGCGUCUGGAAAGGCGCGCGAUACAGGGUGACAGCCCCGUACACAAAAGCGCAUGUGCUGUGAGCUCGAUGAGUAGGGCGGGACACGUGGUAUCCUGUCUGAAUAUGGGGGGACCAUCCUCCAAGGCUAAAUACUCCUGACUGACCGAUAGUGAACCAGUACCGUGAGGGAAAGGCGAAAAGAACCCCGGCGAGGGGAGUGAAAAAGAACCUGAAACCGUGUACGUACAAGCAGUGGGAGCACC